GUGAGGAAUAUUGGUCAAUGGACGAGAGUCUGAACCAGCCAAGUCGCGUGAAGGAAGACGGUUCUAUGAAUUGUAAACUUCUUUUGUGCAGGAAUAAAGUGGGUUACGUGUAACCUUUUGUAUGUACUGUACGAAUAAGGAUCGGCUAACUCCGUGCCAGCAGCCGCGGUAAUACGGAGGAUCCGAGCGUUAUCCGGAUGUAUUGGGUUUAAAGGGUGCGUAGGUGGAUUGAUAAGUCAGCGGUGAAAGUUUGCAGCUUAACUGUAAAAUUGCCGUUGAAACUGUCGGUCUUGAGUGCAAAUGAGGUAGGCGGAAUGUGUUGUGUAGCGGUGAAAUGCUUAGAUAUAACACAGAACUCCGAUUGCGAAGGCAGCUUACUGGGAUGCAACUGACACUGAUGCACGAAAGCGUGGGUAUCAAACAGGAUUAGAUACCCGUGUAGUCC
rnacentral:rRNA from 1 species